rnacentral:rRNA from 1 species
AGUGAACGCUGGCGGUAGGCCUAACACAUGCAAGUCGAAUGGCAGCACAGUAAGAGCUUGCUCUUACGGGUGGCGAGUGGCGGACGGGUGAGGAAUACAUCGGAAUCUACUUUUUCGUGGGGGAUAACGUAGGGAAACUUACGCUAAUACCGCAUACGACCUACGGGUGAAAGCAGGGGGUCUUCGGACCUUGCGCGAUUGAAUGAGCCGAUGUCGGAUUAGCCAGUUGGCGGGGUAAAGGCCCACCAAGGCGACGAUCCGUAGCUGGUCUGAGAGGAUGAUCAGCCACACUGGAACUGAGACACGGUCCAGACUCCUACGGGAGGCAGCAGUGGGGAAUAUUGGACAAUGGGCGCAAGCCUGAUCCAGCCAUACCGCGUGGGUGAAGAAGGCCUUCGGGUUGUAAAGCCCUUUUGUUGGGAAAGAAAAGCAGCAGGUUAAUACCCCGCUGUUCUGACGGUACCCAAAGAAUAAGCACCGGCUAACUUCGUG